CUAAGAGUUUGAUCCUGGCUCAGAACGAACGCUGGCGGCAGGCUUAACACAUGCAAGUCGAACGCACUCUUCGGGGUGAGUGGCAGACGGGUGAGUAACGCGUGGGAACGUACCCUUCGGUGGGGGACAACGUCUGGAAACGGGCGCUAAUACCGCAUACGCCGGAGACGGGAAAGAUUUAUCGCCGAGGGAUCGGCCCGCGUUAGAUUAGGUAGUUGGUGAGGUAAUGGCUC
rnacentral:rRNA from 16 species